GACGUAGGGCGCGAGCGUUUGUCCGGAUUUAUUGGGCGUAAAGAGCUCGUAGGCGGCUUGUCGCGUCGUCCGUGAAAACCUGCAGCUCAACUGCAGGCUUGCGGUCGAUACGGGCAGGCUAGAGUUCGGUAGGGGAGACUGGAAUUCCUGGUGUGAGCGGUGAAAUGACGCAGAUAUCAGGAGGAACACCGGUGGCGAAGGCGGGUCUCUGGGCCGAUACUGACGCUGAGGAGCGAAAGCGUGGGGAGCGAACAGG
rnacentral:rRNA from 1 species